UACGUAGGGGGCAAGCGUUGUCCGGAUUUAUUGGGCGUAAAGAGCGUGUAGGCGGCCAUGCAGGUCCGUUGUGAAAACUCGAGGCUCAACCUCGAGACGCCGAUGGAAACCGCAUGGCUAGAGUCCGGGAGAGGAGAGUGGAAUUCCUGGUGUAGCGGUGAAAUGCGCAGAUAUCAGGAAGAACACCCGUGGCUAAGGCGGCUCUCUAGUACGGUACUGACGCUGAGGCGCGAAAGCGUGGGGAGCGAACAGG
rnacentral:rRNA from 1 species